rnacentral:rRNA from 1 species
UACGAAGGGGGCUAGCGUUGCUCGGAAUCACUGGGCGUAAAGCGCACGUAGGCGGACUACUAAGUCAGGGGUGAAAUCCCGGGGCUCAACCCCGGAACUGCCUUUGAUACUGAUAGUCUCGAGUCCGGAAGAGGUGAGUGGAAUUCCGAGUGUAGAGGUGAAAUUCGUAGAUAUUCGGAGGAACACCAGUGGCGAAGGCGGCUCACUGGUCCGGUACUGACGCUGAGGUGCGAAAGCGUGGGGAGCAAACAGG